CAGCCGCCACGGUAAUACGAAGGGUGCAAGCGUUAAUCGGAAUUACUGGGCGUAAAGCGUGCGUAGGCGGUUUGUUAAGUCUGUUGUGAAAUCCCCGGGCUCAACCUGGGAAUGGCAAUGGAUACUGGCAAGCUAGAGUGUGUCAGAGGAUGGUGGAAUUCCCGGUGUAGCGGUGGAAUGCGUAGAGAUCGGGAGGAACAUCAGUGGCGAAGGCGGCCAUCUGGGACAACACUGACGCUGAGGCACGAAAGCGUGGGGAGCAAACAGGAUUAGAUACCCGCGUAGUCCCUGUCUCUUAUAC
rnacentral:rRNA from 1 species